AUUGAACGCUGGCGGCAGGCCUAACACAUGCAAGUCGAACGGUAACAGGAAGCAGCUUGCUGCUUCGCUGACGAGUGGCGGACGGGUGAGUAAUGUCUGGGAAACUGCCUGAUGGAGGGGGAUAACUACUGGAAACGGUAGCUAAUACCGCAUAAUGUCGCAAGACCAAAGAGGGGGACCUUCGGGCCUCUUGCCAUCGGAUGUGCCCAGAUGGGAUUAGCUUGUUGGUGGGGUAACGGCUCACCAAGGCGAGGAUCCCUAGCUGGUCGGAGAGGAUGACAAGCCACACUGGAACGGAGACACGGGCCAGACUGCUACGGGAGGCAGCAGUGGGGAAUAUUGCACAAUGGGCGCAAGCCUGAUGCAGCCAUGCCGCGUGUAUGAAGAAGGCCUUCGGGUUGUAAAGUACUUUCAGCGGGGAGGAAGGUGUUGUGGUUAAUAACCGCAGCAAUUGACGUUACCCGCAGAAGAAGCACCGGCUAACUCCGUGCCAGCCGCCGCGGUA
rnacentral:rRNA from 1 species